rnacentral:rRNA from 1 species
AUUGAACGCUAGCGGGAUGCUUUACACAUGCAAGUCGAACGGCAGCGCGGACUUCGGUCUGGCGGCGAGUGGCGAACGGGUGAGUAAUGUAUCGGAACGUGCCCAGUAGCGGGGGAUAACUACGCGAAAGCGUAGCUAAUACCGCAUACGCCCUACGGGGGAAAGCAGGGGAUCGUAAGACCUUGCACUAUUGGAGCGGCCGAUAUCGGAUUAGCUAGUUGGUGAGGUAACGGCUCACCAAGGCGACGAUCCGUAGCUGGUUUGAGAGGACGACCAGCCACACUGGGACUGAGACACGGCCCAGACUCCUACGGGAGGCAGCAGUGGGGAAUUUUGGACAAUGGGGGCAACCCUGAUCCAGCCAUCCCGCGUGUGCGAUGAAGGCCUUCGGGUUGUAAAGCACUUUUGGCAGGAAAGAAACGUCGCGGGCUAAUACCCCGUGGAACUGACGGUACCUUCAGAAUAAGCACCGGCUAACUACGUG